CCUACGGGUGGCAGCAGUGAGGAAUAUUGGUCAAUGGACGAGAGUCUGAACCAGCCAAGUAGCGUGAAGGAUGACUGCCCUAUGGGUUGUAAACUUCUUUUAUAAAGGAAUAAAACGAGGCACGUGUGCCUGUUUGCAUGUACUUUAUGAAUAAGGAUCGGCUAACUCCGUGCCAGCAGCCGCGGUAAUACGGAGGAUCCGAGCGUUAUCCGGAUUUAUUGGGUUUAAAGGGAGCGUAGAUGGGUUGUUAAGUCAGUUGUGAAAGUUUGCGGCUCAACCUUAAAAUUGCAAUUGAUACUGGCAGUCUUGAGUACAGUUGAGGUAGGCGGAAUUCGUGGUGUAGCGGUGACAUGCUUAGAUAUCACGCAGAACCCCGAUUGCGAAGGCAGCUUACUAAACUGUGACUGACAUUGAUGCUCGAAAGUGUGGGUAUCAAACAGGAUUAGAUACCCUUGUAGUC
rnacentral:rRNA from 1 species